rnacentral:rRNA from 1 species
CUUCCAGGAAAAGUCUCUAAGCUUCAGUUACACAGGAAUCGUACCCGAAACCGACACAGGUGGUCAGGUCGAGUAGACCAAAGCGCUUGAGAGAACUCUGCUGAAGGAACUAGGCAAAAUGGUACCGUAACUUCGGGAGAAGGUACGCUGUUGUCUGUGAUAGGACUUGCUCCUUGAGCGGCCGACAGCCUCAGAAACCAGGCCCCUGCAACUGUUUAUUAAAAACAUAGCACUCUGCAAACACGAAAGUGGACGUAUAGGGUGUGAUGCCUGCCCGGUGCUGGAAGGUUAAUUGAUGGGGUUAGCGUAAGCGAAGCUCUUGAUCGAAGCCCCAGUAAACGGCGGCCGUAACUAUAACGGUCCUAAGGUAGCGAAAUUCCUUGUCGGGUAAGUUCCGACCUGCACGAAUGGCAUAAUGAUGGGGGCGCUGUCUCCAGCAGAGACUCAGUGAAAUCGAAUUCGCCGUGAAGAUGCGGUGUACCCGCGGCUAGACGGAAAGACCCCGUGAACCUUUACUGCAGCUUGACAUUGAACUUUGAUCUUACUUGUGUAGGAUAGGUGGGAGGCUUUGAAACCGAGACGCUAGUUUCGGUGGAGCCAAUCUUGAAAUACCACCCUGGUAAUAUUGAGGUUCUAACUCUGUCCCGUUAUCCGGGACGAGGACCAUGUCUGGUGGGUAGUUUGACUGGGGCGGUCUCCUCCUAAAGAGUAACGGAGGAGUACGAAGGUGCGCUCAGCGUGGUCGGAAAUCACGCGUAGAGUAUAAAGGCAAAAGCGCGCUUAACUGCGAGACCCACAAGUCGAGCAGGUACGAAAGUAGGUCUUAGUGAUCCGGUGGUUCUGUAUGGAAGGGCCAUCGCUCAACGGAUAAAAGGUACUCUGGGGAUAACAGGCUGAUACCGCCCAAGAGUUCAUAUCGACGGCGGUGUUUGGCACCUCGAUGUCGGCUCAUCUCAUCCUGGGGCUGAAGCAGGUCCCAAGGGUAUGGCUGUUCGCCAUUUAAAGAGGUACGCGAGCUGGGUUUAGAACGUCGUGAGACAGUUCGGUCCCUAUCUACCGUGGGCGUUGGAAAUUUGAGAGGAUCUGCUCCUAGUACGAGAGGACCAGAGUGGACGAACCUCUGGUGUACCGGUUGUGACGCCAGUCGCAUCGCCGGGUAGCUAUGUUCGGAAGGGAUAACCGCUGAAAGCAUCUAAGCGGGAAGCCUACCUCAAGAUAAGAUUUCCCUAGGACUUUAUGUCCUCUAAAGAGCCGUUGAAGACUACGACGUUGAUAGGUUGGAUGUGGAAGCAUAGUGAUAUGUGAAGCUGACCAAUACUAAUUGCUCGUGAGGCUUGACUAU